UGAGCAAUCUGCCCUUCUCAUCGGAAUAAGCGUUGGAAACGACGUCUAAUGCCGAAUACGACCUCCUUUCGCAUGAUCGGAGGUGGAAAGCUCCGGCGGAGAAGGAUGAGCUCGCGGCCUAUCAGCUUGUUGGUGAGGUAACGGCUCACCAAGGCUUCGACGGGUAGCCGGCCUGAGAGGGCGACCGGCCACACUGGGACUGAGACACGGCCCAGACCUCCGUACGGGAGGNAGCG
rnacentral:rRNA from 1 species